rnacentral:rRNA from 1 species
CCGCCCGUCACACCAUGGAAGUUGAUUGCUCCAGAAGUGGCUGAGCUAACCCGCAAGGGAGGCAGGUCCCCAAGGAGUGAUCGGUAACUGGGUG